AUUGAACGCUGGCGGCAUGCUUUACACAUGCAAGUCGAACGGCAGCGCGGGCUUCGGCCUGGCGGCGAGUGGCGAACGGGUGAGUAAUGCAUCGGAACGUGCCCAGUAGUGGGGGAUAGCCCGGCGAAAGCCGGAUUAAUACCGCAUACGACCUGAGGGUGAAAGCGGGGGACCGAAAGGCCUCGCGCUAUUGGAGCGGCCGAUGUCGGAUUAGCUAGUUGGUGGGGUAAAGGCUUACCAAGGCGACGAUCCGUAGCUGGUCUGAGAGGACGACCAGCCACACUGGGACUGGGACACGGCCCAGACUCCUACGGGAGGCAGCAGUGGGGAAUUUUUGACAAUUGGGGCAACCCUUAUCCAGCCAUGCCGCGUGCGGGAAGAAGGCCUUCGGGUUGUAAACCGCUUUUGUUCGGGAAGAAAUCCUCUUGGCUAAUACCCCGGGGGGAUGACGGUACCGGAAGAAUAAGCACCGGCUAACUACGUG
rnacentral:rRNA from 1 species